rfam:Canis lupus familiaris chromosome 18, whole genome shotgun sequence.
ACCUGGCUGGCUCAGUUGGUACAGCAUGUGACUCUUGAUCUUGGGGUUAUGAGUUCAAGCCCUAUGUUGGGUG